AUGGGUCUCUGCCUCGGCAAGGCCCCUUCUCCCUGGCCGGACCUCCCGCUCGAUCUUGCCGGCCUCAUCCUCGGCAAGGCGCCUUCUCCCUGGCCGGAUCUGGCCGGCCUUAUCCUCGGCCAUCUCACUUCCCAUGCCGACCACCUCAGCUUCGGGGCCGUAUGCCGCUCCUGGCGCCUCGCCGCGCGGCACCAGCUGCCGACACGGGGCACCACGCCUUGGCUCAACCGCUUCGUCCGUUGCUGCCGCGGCUCCUCCGGCGGCUGGAUCCUCUGCUGCCAUGACAAUAACCGUCGCGGAGGACGAUGGUGCUUGUACCUUCGCAACCCUUUCCACGCAUCGGAUGCCCUCAUCGAGAUCCCGUGGCACCACAAGGAGCCGUCCAAUAUCGUCAUGUGUUCUUCGUUCGUGGCGAUUCUCGACGGAAGGGACUUCAUGAUUGAGCCUCUCUGGCCGGCCGACCCAAGAUGCUAUUUGUUUAGUGGUGCUGAUUACGUGAACAUGGCAUCUUACCGUGGCAAGAUCUUCACCGUCACACACUCAGGGGAGCUCUCCUCCCAUGACCUCGUCCACCAUGGCUGCGAGCAUGUGAUGAAGAUGAGCCCAUCCGUUCAACCCGUGAACAACACUGUCUGCCACCUGGUCGUGUCAGCUGAUAAGAAAAAGCUACUGAUGGUACGGUGGAGCAGAAAGGCCAUGUGUGUCCUGGUUGAUGAUCAACGGAGGGCUGCAGGUAUUCGAGGUGGGCUUGGCCGAGGGCCAGUGGUUGGAGGUGAAGGACCUGGGAGGCCAAGUUCUGUUCCUGAGCAGGAGUUGCUGCAGGGCUUUUGGAUCGCCAGAGCAAUGCCACCCGAGAUUCCCACAAGGGAACCGUGUGUACAUCUUGGGUGUCGACUGGCACCUGAAGAGGACUGUCGCCGAUGCCAGCCUGUGCAAGUGCCAUGA
rnacentral:rRNA from 1 species